CCUUCAUCCACCACCAGGGGUCGCAUGUUUUCCACAAGGACUCGAUUUGCCAAAGAAAUGUUCUGGGCAGUCCUUGCUGGCGUCAUCAUCAGUGGCUUAAUAUUUGUAUUCUAAUGGCACCACGGGUUAUGCGGAAGGGUAAAUAACCAGAGAGAACAUCGUCUGACACGGCCCAGAUGUAAGAAUGAUGAAGCCGUUGGACUAGGGUCGGAACGAAUCGGAAUAAUUAACCAACGUGACGCUGCUGCUGCUGUUGAAGGCAAUACACACGCACUGCCCGUAUGCUCGAUGUGUGUUCAACGAUGAAGAGCGCUUUCCAGCCGCAUUAGGGGUGCAAACAGGAUUCACACAAUCUGUCUUUCAUUUACUCUGGUCUCCUUUAACAAGCUCAUGGGGAGAUCCUAGAUUCUCCAUACUUGGGAGCAGGUUGAUCCAAUGCAUUUCACAAGAGCAACACCGUUGAAGAAUUUCGAUUCGGAAUUAACUGGUUGAGCCAUGUUUAGGCAGAGCAUUAACAAAGCCGUUUCGGGGUUCGGAGGCUUGACGGAAUGGCCCGAUUUUGGGAUGCUGUUACCGGUUUGCUUGGCGACAAACGGAAAAAAGCCACUGGCGACGAAUGGCACGCUGGCCAGGUGUUCUCUGACAGUGUGGACCCUGGUGCUGCUGCUGCUGCACUGCUCCCUAGCUGCCGAAGUGGCCAAACCCUCAGACAGUCUGGGAGCCUCCACGGAGCUUGAACCCGGUCCUGCAGAUGCCACUGGAGGAGCGGGUUCCAACGCCCGGGCCGAAGCCGGCACAGAGGAGUGGAAGCCGGGUGUCAGCGCGGUGGCUGUCGCGCCGGUCCGGCCCAGGGAACCAGCCGCCCUCUCCCCCCGGGGCCAUGCCCCGCCCCGGGGGGAGAGGGGUCCGGGGGGGAGGGCCGCCUUCAUGCUGGUGGACCCCCUCGCGGGGCCGCUGUCGGCCGGGGGCCUGCCGCUGGGACUGCUGUCUAAAGCCGCCUGGGCCAGAAGCUCCUCGUCGAUGCCCUCCAAGACGCCCAAGCCCAAGGCGGCGUCCCAGCCUUCGUCCUCCGCUGCGGCGCGUGCUGCCAGCCGGGAGAACCAAACGGCCGCCACGCAAACGCUGUCCCCGGGCGCCAGCAGCGCCAACCUGUCCAGCAGCAACCCCAGCUCCGACGCGGAGGAGCCAAUGAGCAGCCUCCCCGCCUGGGACCUGCCCACCAUCCCGGAGUCUCUGCUGUCCACCCUCGGCGACCACGACAUCACGCUGCCCGACAACAUCACCAGCCCCUUCUCCACCCACCAGUGGAACACCACCGCCCCCGGGCGCCCUGGGAACAGCUCCAAGCAGAGCUCCACCUCCCCACCCCACCUCCUCCACCCC
ensembl:lncRNA